UUGCAAGUGGGAAAUUUGAUAAAACAUGACAUUUUUACAUUAUAAAUAAUUGAUAAACUAAUUUUUGUUUCCUACAUACAAUACAAAGUGGGAAAAAAAUGUCUAAAAGUCUCCUGUUCAUCAUUUGUGCUAUUAUCCUCUUCCUUUCCUCAUUUCUUGUUGCCUAUGAACUUCUCGAUUCAUGCACUUCAGACUCUGAGUGUCCAAGUUAUCCAUGUCUCCUUGGUGGAACCGGAAGGUGUUUUAUGUUUGAGUGCACAUGUUUGUAUAGCAUAAAUAAUAAACAACAACCUCCUCCAUAAAAAAUGAGUUUGAUGGAGGUAUAUAUAUUGAGAUUAGAAGAAUCAAAUUAUGUUAGUAGUUUUAAGAGAUUAACUACUUAAUUAUUUAAUAAGUUUUGAUGAUUAAGUUUUAAAUAUGUUUUAUAAUCAGAAAACCAUAUUGUAUCUUUUUUCAUAUGUCUUUCAAGCUCUCAAUAUUUUAAUUAUUUAAUAAGGUUUAAUUA